rnacentral:rRNA from 1 species
UACGAAGGGGGCUAGCGUUGUUCGGAAUUACUGGGCGUAAAGGGUCUGUAGGUGGCCAACUAAGUCAAACGUGAAAUCCCUCAGCUUAACUGGGGAACUGCGUCUGAUACUGGAUGGCUCGAGUGUGGGAGAGGAAUGCGGAAUUCCAGGUGUAGCGGUGAAAUGCGUAGAUAUCGGGAGGAACACCGGUGGCGAAGGCGGCGACCUGGGUCGAGACUGACGCUGAGGCGCGAAAGCGUGGGGAGCAAACAGG